UCAAUCCAUUCUGAAAGUAAAUGACAUUCAAGAGUUUAAAGGUGCUGCUACAAACAAAACAUGGUAUCCUGAAACAACAUGCCAAGAUAUUUGCUUGAAACUUUGUACGAAGUAAUUCAUGUCACCCCACCGGAACUAAUGAGAGUUCCAGCACGCAACAUGUCGAAUACAAACUCUGUCAUGCUACACUAAGUGAAUCCCUUGAGAUGGAAUAUGAAAAUCUCAAACACAAGAACAAUCUUUGGCAAAAAAGCAAUAUGUUGAGGCUUAAUUUCCUCUAUCAUUAUCUAGUAUCUACUCAAAGAAUGUUUGUGGCACUUAUGUAGGAACUGGUUAUUGACAAACUCAAAGGAUGUUAAUUUUUUACAAAGAAAUGCUGGCAUGCUGCUGAGUAGCUUUGUUAUGCUGUAUGGUUACUCAAAACUACUUUGAAUUCCUUUGUGUGUAAUGCUUUGAUAUCAUUAAUGGGAAGCAUGCUUACAUUACA